rnacentral:rRNA from 1 species
UACGUAGGUGGCGAGCGUUGUUCGGAUUUACUGGGCGUAAAGGGCGCGUAGGCGGCAUGACAAGUCACUUGUGAAAUCUCCGGGCUUAACUCGGAACGGUCAAGUGAUACUGUCGCGCUAGAGUGCGGAAGGGGCAAUCAGAAUUCUUGGUGUAGCGGUGAAAUGCGUAGAUAUCAAGAGGAAUACCUGAGGUGAAGACGGGUUGCUAGGCCGACACUGACGCUGAAGCGCGAAAGCCAGGGGAGCAAACAGG